GUCGAACGAACCUUCGGGUUAGUGGCGGACGGGUGAGUAACGCGUGGGAAUCUGCCCUCAGGAGGGGGAUAACGGUUGGAAACGACCGCUAAUACCCCAUAUGCCGAGAGGUGAAAUGAAUUUCGCCUGAGGAUGAGCCCGCGUCUGAUUAGCUUGUUGGUGAGGUAAUGGCUCACCAAGGCAUCGAUCAGUAGCUGGUCUGAGAGGAUGAUCAGCCACACUGGGACUGAGACACGGCCCAGACUCCUACGGGAGGCAGCAGUGGGGAAUUUUCCGCAAUGGGCGAAAGCCUGACGGAGCAACGCCGCGUGAGGGACGAAGGCCUCUGGGCUGUAAACCUCUUUUCUCAAGGAAGAAGAUAUGACGGUACUUGAGGAAUAAGCCACGGCUAAUUCCGUGCCAGCAGCCGCGGUAAUACGGGAGUGGCAAGCGUUAUCCGGAAUUAUUGGGCGUAAAGCGUCCGCAGGCGGCCUUUCAAGUCUGCUGUUAAAACGUGGAGCUUAACUCCAUCAUGGCAGUGGAAACUGAUUGGCUUGAGUAUGGUAGGGGCAGAGGGAAUUCCCGGUGUAGCGGUGAAAUGCGUAGAUAUCGGGAAGAACACCAGUGGCGAAGGCGCUCUGCUGGGCCAUUACUGACGCUCAUGGACGAAAGCCAGGGGAGCGAAAGGGAUUAGAUACCCCUGUAGUCCUGGCCGUAAACGAUGAACACUAGGUGUCGGGGGAAUCGACCCCCUCGGUGUCGUAGCUAACGCGUUAAGUGUUCCGCCUGGGGAGUACGCACGCAAGUGUGAA
rnacentral:rRNA from 1 species